rnacentral:rRNA from 1 species
UACAGAGGGUGCGAGCGUUGUUCGGGAUUAUUGGGCGUAAAGGGCGCGUAGGCGGUGCGGCGUGUUUGGUGUGAAAUCUCCCGGCUCAACUGGGAGGGGCCAUCGAAAACUGCCGUGCUAGGGUACGGGAGAGGGGAGUGGAAUUCCCGGUGUAGCGGUGAAAUGCGUAGAUAUCGGAAGGAACAUCAGUGGCGAAAGCGACUUCCUGGACCAGUACCGACGUUCAGGCACGAAAGCGUGGGGAGCAAACAGG